rnacentral:lncRNA from 1 species
GUCAGGUACCGGUGCACAGGCAAUUUUUACAAAAUCUUCAUAUUUGACAUUACCGUUGAUGGAUACAUUGGCUUCUCGAAAGAUUUGUUCAACUUUGGUACAAAGAAUAGUCGCAUUAAAAUUUUGUGAAGAAGCAUGUGAGCCAGUUGUCGUGCAGGUAUAGUACCUGUAUGGGCAGUAUCCGCAGCUUGGAAAGCUUCUAUUACUUCUUUUGGAAGAUCUUCCGCUCUUGUUUGUAAAUGCAUAGCUUCUAGAAAAUCAGCGAAUGACAUUUUUCCACCUAAGGUAUAUAAAAAGAAAACUUAAUACUUUGUCACAUAAUUUAGACUAAGUAUGAAAACCGUUGAUUAUAAAAAAGAAGAAGAAAUAAUUGGAAUAGUUAACCUUUAUCUUUAAGAUAUUUAUUUAAUUCUGCAAUUGUUGGACUGAGGCCUAACGAUCUCAUAAUGAUGGUCAAUUCAUCUAAGGUACGAAUAUGACCAUUGCGAGCAAAUAAGUAAAAACAUUCCCUGAAUUCUGUAAUUAGACAAGUCAGGAUUGUUAAAUAAGCAUUUAUGUCAAGAUAUUAAAUAAAAUAUAUAUACAAAUACAUAUAUGUAUAAAUAAUGUACAUAUAAACAGCAUAUUUUUAACAUAUAAUAAAUAAUGUAAAAAUGUCAAAUGCAAAGAACAUACCAUCAAUAUCUUCCUCUCGAAAGUAACGAGCCUGAAAUAAAAGAUAUCAGAAAUAUA